CUUGGCCCCGCGGAGCGUGACUGUCUCGGCUGGAAGCGUGGGAGGCCGGAGGAUCAGUGACUGGCUGUCGUGGACAUGCUCGCUACACCUCCCGGGGCUUCGCUUCGUUUACUAUUAACUGUCGUUACUCCUCUGUAUCUCGUCAGCAGGGGCUGCCUGCGGUGUUAGAAUUACACGCCCCUGCCACCUGGGCACGGAGCCCAGUCUCCCGGCCCCUCAGUCAGUCCUUGGGUGUAGCUGGAGCAUUUAAGAAAAAUGAAAUAUAGGAACUCAGUGCAUGGUUUCCUGGGCCUUUUUAUUGAAUAUCAUUUCUAACAUGUACACAGUAUAACCCAGGCUUAGUGGAUUCCGGGACAGAAAAUGUUGGGAGCUGGGAUAGUCAAGUAAACAAGAAGAAAUGGUAAAGAGAUGCCAAGUGGGAGAGGAAACUACGGAUGCAGAGAGAGGAUCUGGGAUAAAGAGAACAAAGAUGCGUGGUCGACUUUAUGGAAACUCGUUUCUUUUUAAUAAGUGAGGUACAUGGUAGAAGACUUUGACAUGUUGAUUAUGUGACUGGGACCAAGGACAACAACUCGAGAAUUGAUUAAAACUACAGUUAUUCCUUGGUUGCCCCAAGGAUGAUCCUGGUACAAUAUGGCUAUUUCCUUUUCACUGGUAAUCCUUAUUUACUCUUGAAAGGGUAAAAAUCCGUGUCUUGUACAUAUUUGGAGUUUCACAAUACCUUCACAUAGUAAUCUAUGUGAGAAUUAUUUUAAACAUUUUGGAGACCAAAAAGGGGAAAGAGAAAGAGACGGAAAAUUACUAAUUACACUAAUUGUAUUUUACCCCCAAGAACGCCAUUACCAGCGGUUAACAUUAGUUCCAGGAGUCCAAACAUAGUUUUCAAGAUAAAACCCCUUACACUAUAAUCAUUAGAAACCAAAAAUUAUAAUAAUUCACCAACAUCCAGCAUACUCAUUUAGGAAGGGUUGAAGAAUCUGUGUAAAUAGAGUUGUUUGAUAACAGUUAUAAAAAUAUCCCUUUACCCAUCUUCACCCUCCAUCCCGAAUUCAAAACUAGUAACAGUUGGGAUAAAGGUAUAGAAAAGAAUCAGUUUUGCAAGUGUAGAGAAUGGAGAAAGCAAGAAACCGCUCUCAUGUUUUCAUUCUGAAAAGAUAUCACUAAAUUCUCUACAACCCCUCAAUUGGUGUUAGGGUAUAUGGUCAGUAGAAUCAAGAAAUAACCCAAUCAGCUGAGAUCACCAUGAUUCUCAGACUUGAGGAAGGAUUGCCUCUCAAAAAUGAAGGGCUAAAGACAGGAAUAGAGUGGCACAAUUCUUAAUAGUUGUGUGCUGUAUGAGUUUUUUUUAAGGAUGAGUCAAAAGAUCUUAAGAUUUGUGAUGUAAAAGAUUGGACACGAUUUAAAUAUGUAUUAAAUGUCUGUAGUAGUGUUUUUUAUAAUUGUCUGGUCAUCUACCAGUGCACAACAAACCAUAACAAAUUUCGUGGCUUAGAGCAUAACUCCAGAAGUGUAGCUCAGCGUUGCUGCCUGGGUCUGGGAUCUGAAGGCUUGUUCACUCUAUGUCUGGCAGUUGAUGUUGGCUGUUGACUGGGAACUCAGCUGGAACAUCUAUAUGUGGCCUCUCCAUGUGGCUGUUUGGCUUCCCCACAGCCUGGCAGCUAUGCUCCAAAAGUGAGCAUCCCAAGAGAGACAAGAGUCCCAAGAGGACAAGGCAGAAGCUGCACUGACGUUUUUUUUUCUCUCUUUCUUUUUAGGUUAGCCAAGUGAAGCAGUGGGAGUGGAGAAGGAACAAAGAAAUCUGUAAAGUAGUUGUGAUCAAUUAGUUGUAAACACCACUGCACUCAGACUCAGACCAGCUUGCAUUGAUUUUUAUGACCUAAUCUCAGAGGUUGUACAGCGUCACUUCCACUGUACUCUACUUGUUGAAGCAGCUACAAAAACACCACAUUUAAGUAAAGGGGACACUAAUUGGGAGGAGUGUUAGUCACAUUAUAAGAAGAGCAUGUGGAAUGAGAGAUUAAGUAGAGAUAUUAUUGCAGUCAUUUAAGGAAAAUAUAAUCUCCCAUAAUAUUAAUAUCUGUUUUCCUUUUGUAAAAAAAAAAUGUACCAUUUCAGGCUGAGCAUGUUGGCUCAUGCCUGUAAUCAUAACAUUUUGGGAGGCUGAGGCCAGUGGAUCACCUGAGGUCAGGAAUUCGAGACCAGCCUGGCCAACAUGGCGAAACCUCGUCUCUGUUAAAAAUACAAAAAUUAGCCGGGUGUGGUGGCAGUCACCUAUAAUCCCAGCUACUCGGAAGGCUGAGGCAGGAGAAUCGCUUGAACCCAGGGGCGGAGGUUGCAGGGAGCUGGUACCACCACUGCACUCCAGCCUGGAUGACAGAGUGAAACUCUGUCUCAAAAAAACAAAACAAAACAAAAACUAAAAUGUACCAUUUCAGAUUUUUUUUCUGAAAUUAAACCUGAAAAGGUCAAAAAACACAUAAAUUACAGUCCCUUUCAAUUACUUACCAGGUACAGGUAUUGUUUAAGUCUAUAGAAGUUCAGACUAUAGUAGUUCAAAAUACCUUAUACAGGGCAGCUUAUAAAAAGCAGAAGUUUAUUUCUCAUAGUUCUGAAGACUGGGAAGUCCGGGUUCAAGGUUCUGGCAGAUUCAGUGCCUGUCGAGGGACUGCUUUUUGGUUCACAGAUAGUGUCUUCUAGCUGUCUCCUCAUGUGGUAGAAGGGUGCCUUUUUUAUUAGUACCCCUAGUUUUAUUUAUUUUAUUUUAUUUUUUAGAGACAGGGGUUUUACUAUGUUGCCCAGGCUAGCCUCAAACUCCUGGGCUUGAGCGAUCCUCCCACCUCAGCCUCCCAAGUAGUUGGGACUACAGGCACAUGUUAAAACACCUGGUUCCUAUUAGUGGUUAUUUUAUAAAGGCACUAAUCUCAUCUGUGGCACCAGAGCCCUCAUGACCUAAUUACCUCCCAAAGAUCCCAUCCCCUAAUACCAUCAUAUUGGUGAUGAGGUUUCAAUACAUGAAUUUGGGGGGCUGGGGACACAAACAUUCAGACCACAGUAGUUGUUACAUUGAUAUGAGCUGGUAAGUGUUAACACCUGGCAGCAAUCAGAUACCCAGCCAUAGGUGAAGGCAGGUGAUUAGAAUUACCAGCCAACACAUUUAUGUGCUAGCUAAUUUUUAUUCAAAACUUUCUGAAGCUACAUUCAAAGCAGUUAAUGGGAAAUGGAGUAAAAAAAUAGGCAACCUCUCACUCUAGAUAAUGCUGUUAAAAGUAAUUUUUCCUCCCAGUCCUCUCCUGUAAUGAAUAGUAUAAGAAGGUAUCCUCCCAACGUAGAGGCACCUUGUGUUUCCAAAGUUUUAAUUAGUUGUCAUGAUAAUUUUAUGUGUCAACUUGACUGGGUUAAGGGAUGCCCAAAUAGGUAGUAAAACAUUAUUUCUGGGUGUAUCUGUGAAGGUGUUUCUGGAUAAAAUUAACAUUUGAAUGGGUAGACUGAGUAGAGCAGACUGUCCUCCCCCAUGUGGGUGGCCCUUAUCCAAAUGGUUGAAGGCUAAAAUAGAACAAAAAAGCUGAGUAGAGGGGAUUCCCUCUGCCUGACUACCUUCGAACUGGGGCGGUGGCUGUUUCCUGCCUUUGGACUUGAACUGAAACAUCAGCUCUUCCUGAGUCUUGAGCCUCCUGGCUUUUGAACUGAAACAACAGUAAUGGCUCUCCUGGUUCUCAGGCAUUUGGACUUUGACUAGAACUACACCAUCAGUUCUCCUGGGUCUCCAGCUUGCCAAUCUCCAGUUUGCCAACUGCGGAUCUUGGGACUUGUCAGCCUCCAUAACUCCAUGAACCAAUUUUUUGUAAUAAAUCUCUUUCUAUAUGUCUAUUUAUUCUGUUGGUUCUGUUUCUCUGGAGAACCCUAAUGCCAUACAUAAUUUUUAAAAAAAAAAAAACUCUUUCCUUCUCUGUUUUUCUCUUAUACUUUUGUGAGUGUAGUGAUAGGCCAAAUCACAUAAGUGCUAAUAAAUACUUUUCCAACAAGUACUUAACCUUGUUUAGGUGAUAAUCACUUGUCUUACCUUUGUGUUCAGAAGAAUUCCCAAUUCCAACUUUCUUAGGUAUUUAUUGAAAAGCAGGAGGAGGGUUCGGUGGAGGGAAGAAGAGAUGGAAUAGGAUUUAGGAUCAUUGCAAAGACCGAGGUAGUUGGGGAACAUAAAGGUUUUAUGUUGCCUUUCUUCUUCCUCCUUAUCAUUGAAGGUCUCCUCCUCCCUCCUGCUCCCCAUCACACACCCUCACAUGCCCCCAUGUGGCCUCUUACUAAACAGGGAGAGAAGAGAAGAGCUGGAGAAAUGGAAGUAUUUUGUAUUGGUAAGCCCAAGCAGCAGCAUGCUGAGAAAAGAGGAGUUUUUAUGGCCCCUGGCUACCCAUCUGGAAUAAACAGUUCUAUUUCCAAAUGGCUAUUUCUAUGCCAAUGUAAAAAGACAUAGAUAAUGCAGAUUAUUGUGUAGACAUUACUAAUAUUCAACAAUAUCUCGUUUUCCUCUUCUUCCAGGCAUACUGAAGACUAUAUUUCUCAGCUGCCUUUGCAGGUGGGCAGGGUCAUGUGACUAUUAUGACUAAUAAAAUGUGAGCAAAAGUGACGAGUCACUUGUGGGCUGAGGCAGUGAAAAGUUGUUUGUGAUUCUCAAAUCUCUCUUCUGUUCUGCCAUUGCAAUUGUGGAAGGAGCUUUAUGUUGAAACGGAAGAGCCAAAAGAUUGAAGUAGUCUAUGUCUCAGUCACCAUAUGGGAGGGCAAAUGCCCUGGAGAACCACCCAGACACACAACAAGUUUGUAUGAAUAAGAAAUAAAACUUUGUUGUAUAAGUAA
rnacentral:lncRNA from 10 species